UACUUGAAUCCUACAAUAACGAUAAUUCGAUAAUUUUAGGAAAUUUCGAAAAAUAAAAUCUGAUUAAGAAUAACUUCUAUGAUUUUUCAUACAUAAAAUAAAAUUAAUAUACACUUAUAAUUAUUAACUACAUUAAAAGUCGACGUGGAUCAAGUUUUCAUUGACAACCUAACGUCGUCUGUUUAAUAUUGAAGAAUAUUAUGCUUGGAAUUUUUAUACUGCAUUCCUGUAUAAGGUUAACAGUCUGUUAAAUUACAAUAUACUUAACAAUAAUACAAUUUGAAAAAACAACAAAGGCCUUUUUUUUUUGAGGAUAAUACUUUAAUCCUACGAUUACGAUAAUUCUAUAAUUUAGGACAAUUUCGAACAGAAAAACAAA